UACGUAGGGUGCAAGCGUUGUCCGGAAUUACUGGGCGUAAAGCGUGCGCAGGCGGCUAUUUAAGCUUGCUGUGAAAGCCCCGGGCUUAACCUGGGAACUGCAGUGAGGACUGGAUGGCUGGAGUGUGGCAGAGGGGGGUGGAAUUCCACGUGUAGCAGUGAAAUGCGUAGAGAUGUGGAGGAACACCGAUGGCGAAGGCAGCCCCCUGGGCUAACACUGACGCUCAGGCACGAAAGCGUGGGGAGCAAACAGG
rnacentral:rRNA from 1 species